rnacentral:lncRNA from 1 species
GUUUUCUCAUGGCAUGCUCAUGCAGUUGAUAAUGAAAUGCCGAGUUUUUUAUAACUAGGUUGUCGGCAGGAAUCCAGCUCAGGUUACGAGUGACCGACAGUUGCUACCAUCUACUGGCUGUUUGCAAUCCUGUGUGAAACAACAGGGCAUUGAGACUCCUUCCUGGUCCUGUCGGCCCACGUUGUGGACAAAUGGCUUCUGUCUGGCUGGCAAUCUGACCAAAAGCUUGUUGGGAUUGGCACCCGACAAGGGGGGUAACAUUUUCACAAGUCCUUUGAGCGGGUCUUUGGCUCCUGUAUUGUGCUUUCUUGUUUCUCACUGCUCAUGUGUGCAGACCCAUCUGCCUCAUGGUGAUGGCAGCAGGGCUGGAGGAGGUGAUGAGGACCUCUGGGCAGGGCUGUGCAGAAGACAUCUGUGGCUGCUAGUGAUGAAAGGAGGAUGUGGAAAGAAGGAGAGGUGUUCUGAGAGUCUUUUGAAGUCCUUUUGA